GGUCGUUAACCUCCUGGCGCCACUCCGGCCUAAUACGCCCUCCAAGGUCGUUUUCCUGUGGCCUUAGCCCUGGGAAGGAGGCUGUUGAGUUAACUUUAGCUCCUUGUGGCCGCACUGUCUGCUGGACCGCGCUUUCGUAAUCUUCUGUUUCUGAGGAGAUAAGAGGGUCACCACAGUUACUCCCCACAGCCGUCCCCAGCUGUUGUUUGCAUCAGGGUCUGAUUACGCUGCUCUUCUGGUUACAGAGCACAGUAGUAUAUAUAUAUAUUUUUUUGCUGGAGCUUCAGAGGACAUUUGGUCACUGAUUCUGUAUACUAACUGUUAUCAAACCUGAGUUUGCAUAAGAAACACCUGGUUAGGGGAGAAGGGGAGUUAUUUUAAAAAUACAGAGUUCUGGUCUUCGUCCAGAGAUUGGUUCACGAGAUGAUUCUAUGGCAUCCUAUGAGAAACUGUUGUGAGAGAAUCAGUAUAGAUAAAUGAAGAAAAAUGUGAAGACCGAAAGACAUUCAGAAAAGAGCAGACAAAAGAGAAGUGAUAGUGAACAAGUGCUAGAAAUACAAGACAGAAACAAGAUUUGGGAAAAAUUUGGGAUAGAUGGAAUCUAUCAUUUGAUAAAUAGUGCUGUGCUCCUCCUCUCCCCUGCCCUGCCCCAUGAGGAAGAGACAAGGAUGGAUGGAACCAGAGUGUAGGGAAGGAUUUUCUCAUAAUUCAAAAGCCCAUGAAGAUCUCUAGACUACCAGGUAGGGACCGUUUAUGACCCUGGAAAAACUAUCACUAAAUACCAUUGAUACAGUGGUUCUGAAAGUUGGGAGUUGGACUGAUUGCCUCUGAAUCUCCUUGGUAGUCUUUUUUUUUUAAAAUACAAAUGCCAGGACUUUAUCACUUGAAAUUCUAGUUAAGCAGGUCUGACGCAAUGCCUUGAGUGUUUAUAUUUUUCAACACGGUCCCAGGUGUUUCUGAUAUGCAGGCAGAUUUGGAAAACACCUCCCAAGGGCCCAAAUUAUUAAUAAUAAUGCUCCCUGGGACUCCUCUUUUCCCUUUGCCUGGUUGCCACCACGAUCAUGAAUGGAUAACUCUUCCCAAUGGUAUUAAGCAUGCUGGGGUAUCUAAUCCAGGCUUCAUCUGAAUAUUUUAUAAAAAUAUUAAGAUGAUAUUCCCUUGAAACAUUAAGAGAAGAGACUCCCUCCUGGUGAGCUCACUACUCAACAUUCCUCGGCCAUUGAAAGAACAGUCCAUCAGCUGUUCUACUUUCUGGGCCACAACUUCUGUUAAUACAAGCUCAUUAUGAGAGACCUUGUCAAACAUUGCUGAAAUCAAGAUACACAGUGUCUGUGCUGCUCCUUUCACUAAACGCUCUAGAAGCACCAACCAAGCAAAGUGCAUUUGGUUGGCAUAACUAUCAGUGAACCCAUACAAGCUGCCAUAUCAGCAACUUCUUUUCCAAGGGCCCAAAAGGUUUUUGUUUUUGUUUUUUUUUUUUUGAGAAACAAAAGAACCUACUCUUUUCUUUGUAAGUUUCCACAAAUGUGAGCUGGAAAAUGGUGCUCACAUCAGUUAAUUAUAAAAUCAAUUUGAGCCCCAAAUGGCAUCAUUUAGGUCUCAGUAUUAACAUUUCUAUCAAGAAAAAGGGCUCAGGUUAUUGGCAUGUCUGGGACUUUGGAGAGAAGAAAGUACUGGAAUAACUCUGACCCAGUGGUCUUAAAGUUGUACAUUUACCACCUUUCUUUGAUAAUCAAGACAGGAGAAAGCUACCCAGUCGUUCAUAUUCAAUAUAGAUCAUUUAGUUAGUCUACACUGACACCUUUGGGUCUAUACCCAUCCUGUUACUUUCUUGAUGACAGCGAAUGGAUCUGACAGCUCUCCUCCUUCAUCACAGCAAACAUGGAAUCAAAGCUUCUAAUUGGGAGGGAGUUUUCUUUUCUUAAUUGGUUUAUGUUUUUUAUUUUCUUUUUUUGAAAGAUUGAUCUUUUCUUACUUUUGGGUAAGGGUGGCUGUCAGUUCCUUAUGAGUCUUCAAAUGCCCCAAUAAGUACUUUGAAAGUGAGUUGUAUUGCCUUAAGGAUAUGGCUUAAUCAGCAUUUCCUUAUGUAUCUGAUCUGUAUGUUACCUUUCAUCUUGGUGCUAAUGUUUCUUGACCUGAGUUAAGCCUCUUCUUUGGUUUAUUUAUCCUAAAGUGUCCUAUUUAUAUAAAAAAAAACAACAUGUUCAAAACUUAGAGUAUUCUUUACUUUAGUAGUAGAUUCACUAUGUGAUCCCUUAAGUAAUGAACACAGCCAAGAAAAUAUAUUAAAUCAAUACUCUCAUUUUUGUAACUGUCCAUAUCUUAUAUGUCAGUAUAUACAUGUAAAGAUAGUCUUGUCAUCAUCCAUUAGUUACUUUUCUUUCUAAUAAAUUAACAAACCCAUAUAUUCUUUGACCUUAU
rnacentral:lncRNA from 1 species